AUUUUUCUAUUUCUUUCCCUUUUAAAAUUUUUCUGGAAUUCAGUGAUGAGGAAAAAAUGCUGCCUAGUUAGGAAUGUUUUCUAGUCAAAAUUUACCACCCUUACUUGUGGCAAAAAUAGUGGUAUUAUCCCCUGAGCAAGUCCUGGUAAAAUAAAGGUCAAGCGAUCUCUGGCUUUCUUUUCUUUCAGAUAAUUGGCUAAUGAGAAUCUGGACCUUUAAAGCUCAUGAAAAAAAAAUAGUCACUUGACAGGUUUCCUAGACAGUUUGGUUCCUUACAGGCAUAUCUUAGUGACUUGCAAUCUCCCAGCCUGUCUGAUUUACAGGCUGUGUUGAAAGGGAGAGCUCAGUCCUCAGCAGGCCUCAGUGCUGGGGGAAGAUGUGGGGUCCUGGUGCUGAGCCAGGAAUGGACCGGCUGCUAUUUCACUGCAAUUGAGAUUGCAGCAUGUUGAGGAGAACUGCUGCUGCCUGUCAUUGUUCUUAGUACCCCAGGCUGCAGUAGGGAACAUUUCUGUGGGAGCCAAGGUGUGGCGGGGGGCAGGAGAUCGGGAAGGAUGUGAAGAAUUGAUUUCUGACUUUAUUACUGUGUUGUUCACGAUUGUUAGAAGCAGCAGCACAAUCAGAAGUGUUUAACCCUAUUAACUGGUUGUUUGUUUUGUGCAGCGGAGCCAAAGUUAUUUUGUAGAUUACUAGAGUUCAGUGAAGAGAAAGAGGGUUAGGAAGACAGACGUAGAUUAUUGCUUGAGGAAUGCAGGAAGAAGCACAAGGAUGCCAGAAGAAAAGUAAAAGCAAAACAAUAAAGUUUCACUCCAAG